UACGGGGGGGGCAAGCGUUGUUCGGAAUUACUGGGCGUAAAGGGUUCGUAGGUGGCCAACUAAGUCAUACGUGAAAUCCCUCAGCUUAACUGGGGAACUGCGUCUGAUACUGGUUGGCUUGAGUGCAGGAGAGGAACGCGGAAUUCCAGGUGUAGCGGUGAGAUGCGUAGAUAUCUGGAGGAACACCGGUGGCGAAGGCGGCGUUCUGGACUGCAACUGACACUGAGGAACGAAAGCCAGGGGAGCAAACGGG
rnacentral:rRNA from 1 species